rnacentral:rRNA from 1 species
GAUAGAGGUGCCGAGCGUUAGGCGGAAUCACUGGGCUUAAAGCGUGUGUAGGCGGACUUCUAAGUACCUUGUGAAAUCCCACGGCUUAACCGUGGAACUGCUUGGUAUACUGGUUGUCUUGGGCCAUCUAGGGGCUACCGGAACAAACGGUGGAGCGGUGAAAUGCGUAGAUAUCGUUUGGAACGCCAAUGGUGAAAAACAGGUAGCUGGGGGAUGUGCCGACGGCUGAGACACGAAAGCCAGGGGAGCGAACGGG